UAUGCCUGUGUGUUUCAGUUCUCAGUGGUCUUUGUUCAGUUCAGUUCAGUUCAGUUCAGGUUUUUGUUUUCUCCAGCAAUAAAGCUGAGGUUUUUUUGAGUCGCUGUGUCCGAGUCCUGCAAUUGGAUCCUCAUCUCCGCCUGCCCGCACACAGAGCCCUGACAAUUCCAUAAAUAACAAGUGCGAAAAGCUCGGUCCCCCCAGUGUUUCAGUCUCGACAUGGGGACAGCAAGGAGUGACUGGUCAGUUGAUCUGAGAGACCUUUGUGGAGUGUAUAGGUGUGGAAGGUCUGACAGCUGUUUUACUGAGCCAUGAGCUCCAUGAAGAGAGUCCAGUGAUUCCACUAGAUGGAUCCUUCCAGCGUGAUCUCCAGGAUCCAGACCUGCACACACUCAGACUGCGGGGAUUUAUCUGCCUUGUAGGAGGAUCGCAUCACUCACCCCGACUGCAGCACUUCAGGAUGGAAACACUGGUUUGGUCAAAGCACAAACUCUCACCCACAGAGCAGAGGAAGGAGGAAACAUCACAGUUGCAUGCUUCUUUGCUUUCCCUGGAAUCAGGAAACUGUUCUGUAAGGAAAAAUGUGAAAAUGGAAACAUUCUUGUUGAAACAUCUGAUGAUGCAGCUCAGAACGGCAGAUACAGCAUUAAAUAUGAACAAACAUAUAUUACCUCAUAUUCUACUCUGUAUGUGAGCAUCACACAGCUGAAACAGUCUGACUCAGGACGGUACAGGUGCUCUUUGGACAGAGUCUUGUGGGAUGGAAACGAUAAUUUUGAGCUGAUUGUCACAGAAGCUUCAACCACUUCAACACCAAACGGGACUCUGAGACCUUUUUCAGCUUCAGUGUUUCUCUCAUCAGCCUCCAAACCACCAACAACACAGAGUUUAAGCUCAACUUCAGGAAGCUCC